rnacentral:tRNA from 87 species
CGCGGGGUGGAGCAGCCCGGUAGCUCGUCGGGCUCAUAACCCGAAGGUCGUCAGUUCAAAUCUGGCCCCCGCAACCA